rnacentral:rRNA from 1 species
UGGGGAAUAUUGCACAAUGGGCGAAAGCCUGAUGCAGCAACGCCGCGUGAGUGAUGAAGGUCUUCGGAUUGUAAAGCUCUGUCUUUUGGGACGAUAAUGAUGGUACCAAAGGAGGAAGCCACGGCUAACUACGUGCCAGCAGCCGCGGUAAUACGUAGGUGGCGAGCGUUGUCCGGAUUUACUGGGCGUAAAGGGUGCGUAGGCGGAUGUUUAAGUGAGAUGUGAAAUACCCGGGCUUAACUUGGGUGCUGCAUUUCAAACUGGAUAUCUAGAGUGCAGGAGAGGAGAAUGGAAUUCCUAGUGUAGCGGUGAAAUGCGUAGAGAUUAGGAAGAACACCAGUGGCGAAGGCGAUUCUCUGGACUGUAACUGACGCUGAGGCACGAAAGCGUGGGUAGCAAACAGGAUUAGAUACCCUGGUAGUCCACGCCGUAAACGAUGAGUACUAGGUGUAGGAGGUAUCGACCCCUUC